rnacentral:lncRNA from 1 species
GCCGAACAAAACCUCACAACGCAAAGUACACAAACAACACACCAUAAUAAGUCAACAAGAUCCAGAGUUUUGUCAAUACAAGCAUAAAGAAACUACAACUGGUACGUUGAGGUUCUCCCCUUUUUAAAGAAAAAAAAAGAAACAAAUAACUAAACUGGUUCAAGAUAACACACUUACUCUCAGUACUCCUCCUGUUGGUAUUCUCCCUCUUCCUCGUCCUCGUACUCACCUUCUUCAUCGGCCGUUGCGUCUUGAUAUUGCUGGUACUCUGACACAAGAUCGUUCAUGUUGCUCUCUGCUUCUGUGAACUCCAUCUCGUCCAUUCCUUCACCUGUGUACCAAUGCAAGAAAGCCUUCCUCCUGAACAUAGCUGUGAACUGCUCACUCACACGCCUGAACAUCUCUUGGAUCGAUGUUGAGUUCCCUAUGAAAGUGGAAGCCAUCUUCAGACCAGUAGGUGGGAUAUCACAGACUGUUGAUUUAACAUUGUUGGGGAUCCACUCAACAAAGUAGGAAGAGUUCUUGUUCUGCACGUUCAGCAUCUGCUCAUCCACUUCCUUGGUGCUCAUUUUGCCACGGAACAUGGCAGAGGCUGUGAGGUAACGUCCGUGUCUUGGGUCAGCAGCACACAUCAUGUUCUUGGAGUCCCACAUUUGCUGGGUGAGCUCAGGGACUGUGAGGGAACGGUACUGCUGAGAUCCUCUUGAGGUGAGAGGAGCAAAACCCACCAUGAAGAAGUGCAGACGAGGGAAUGGGAUCAGGUUGACAGCAAGCUUACGAAGGUCGGAGUUAAGCUGACCAGGGAAUCUCAGACAGCAUGUGACACCAGACAUUGUAGCAGAUAUCAGAUGGUUCAGGUCACCAACUGCAAAAAGUGAGAGAACACGUAUAUGAGUUACAUCCUAGCAAACGAAAGCACAAAAACAGAGCUCAAAGAUAUCACUGUAGUAAAGAUCAGAACAGUAAUAUGCCAUUGGUAUGAGAGAUGAAACAAAUCUUACAGCUGGGGGUGGUGAGUUUGAGAGUCCUGAAGCAAAUAUCGUACAAGGCCUCGUUGUCAAGAACCAUACACUCAUCAGCAUUCUCAACAAGCUGAUGAACAGACAAGGUAGCGUUGUAAGGCUCAACCACAGUGUCAGAGACCUUAGGGGAAGGGAAGACAGAGAAGGUGAGCAUCAUGCGGUCUGGGUACUCUUCCCUGAUCUUUGAUAUCAACAAAGUCCCCAUUCCAGAUCCAGUUCCUCCUCCCAAGGAGUGGCACACCUGAAACCCUUGGAGGCAGUCACAGUUCUCGGCUUCCUUACGAACAACAUCGAGGACGGAAUCGAUAAGCUCAGCGCCUUCAGUGUAAUGGCCCUUGGCCCAGUUGUUACCAGCACCGGACUGGCCAAAGACGAAGUUAUCAGGACGGAAGGUCUGACCGAAGGGUCCAGAUCUGAGACUGUCCAUGGUUCCAGGCUCUAGAUCCAUGAGCACAGCACGAGGGACGAAUCUUCCACAGCUGGCUUCGUUGUAGUAGACGUUGAUGCGCUCGAGUUGGAGAUCUGAGUCGCCCGUGUAACGACCGGUCGGAUCAAUGCCGUGCUCCGCGCAGACAGUACACAAACAACACACCAUAAUAAGUCAACAAGAUCCAGAGUUUUGUCAAUACAAGCAUAAAGAAACUACAACUGGUACGUUGAGGUUCUCCCCUUUUUAAAGAAAAAAAAAGAAACAAAUAACUAAACUGGUUCAAGAUAACACACUUACUCUCAGUACUACUCCUGUGGGUAUUCUCCCUCUUCCUCGUCCUCGUACUCACCUUCUU